rnacentral:rRNA from 1 species
AACAAGGUUUCCGUAGGUGAACCUGCGGAAGGAUCAUUAAUUG